rnacentral:rRNA from 1 species
AACGAACGCUGGCGGCAUGCCUAACACAUGCAAGUCGAACGAGAUCUUCGGGUCUAGUGGCGCACGGGUGCGUAACGCGUGGGAAUCUGCCCUUUGGUUCGGAAUAACAGUUGGAAACGACUGCUAAUACCGGAUGAUGACGAAAGUCCAAAGAUUUAUCGCCAGAGGAUGAGCCCGCGUAGGAUUAGCUAGUUGGUGUGGUAAAGGCGCACCAAGGCGACGAUCCUUAGCUGGUCUGAGAGGAUGAUCAGCCACACUGGGACUGAGACACGGCCCAGACUCCUACGGGAGGCAGCAGUGGGGAAUAUUGGACAAUGGGCGCAAGCCUGAUCCAGCAAUGCCGCGUGAGUGAUGAAGGCCUUAGGGUUGUAAAGCUCUUUCGCACGCGACGAUGAUGACGGUAGCGUGAGAAGAAGCCCCGGCUAACUUCGUGCCAGCCGCCGCCGUAA